GGCAGUGCUCGUUUGACCGGUCAUUUGACAUGCAGUGAGAGACUGAAUACGGUGACACAGUGUCAACGUUACCGGGCAAGAAGCUGCCGCGCGACAGGGAAUAGCAGACACUGUAUCUAUAUUUCACGCGACAGAAGCGCCGGGCAAUGUAAUUUACAGAUUGAAGGAAUAGUACAACAAAAACAUACUAUAAACGCAAAAAUGACGGUGGAUUUUGAGGAAUGUAUUAAAGAUUCACCUCGAUUCAGGGCUGGUAUUGACGAGGUGGAGACGGAUGUGGUGGAGAUUGAAGCCAAGCUAGAAAAGCUGGUGAAGCUGUGCAGUGGCAUGAUCGAGGCUGGCCGGGCAUAUGUCGGCGCCAACAAGCUGUUUGUCAAUGGCAUCAAAGACCUGUCCCUGCAGUGCAAGAAGGAGGAGAUGAUCUCUGAAUGUUUAGAGAAGUGUGGGGAGAGCCUCCAGGAGAUAGUCAACUACCACAUGAUUCUGUUCGACCAGGCUCAGAGAUCUGUAAAGCAGCAGCUUCAGACCUUCAUCAAGGAAGACGUGCGUAAGUUCAAGGAGACGCGGAGGCAGUUUGAGCGUGUGCGUGAGGACCUGGAGCUGGCGCAGGUGAAGCACGCCCAGGCUCCUCGUACCCGUCCUCAUGAGGCGGAGGAGGCCAGCACCGCCCUCUUCUCCGCCCGCCGCAGCUUCAGACACCUGGGGCUGGACUACGUGCUGCAGAUCAACGUCUUUCAAGCCAAAAAGAAGUUUGAGAUCCUUGAUUCUAUGUUGUCAUGCAUGCACGCCCAGUACACAUUCUUCCAGCAGGGUUACAACAUCCUGGAUGAGAUAGACCCCUACAUGAAGAAGCUAGCAGCAGAGCUGGAUCAACUGGUCAUCGACUCAGCUGUGGAGAAGAGAGAGCUGGAACACAAACACGCUAUCAUCCAACAGAGGGUGAGACACUCAUCCUUCUCGUAUGACGACACCAAGGUGGAGUUCAACGUGGAUGCACCCAAUGGGGUGGUGAUGGAGGGAUACCUGUUCAAGAGAGCCAGCAAUGCUUUCAAGACCUGGAACAGGCGAUGGUUCUCCAUACAGAACAGCCAGCUGGUUUACCAGAAGAAACUCAAGGACUCCCUGACGGUGGUGGUGGAGGACCUUCGGCUGUGCUCAGUCAAGCCCUGCGAGGACAGCGAGAGGAGGUUCUGCUUCGAGGUCGCCUCCCCCACCAAGAGCUGCAUGCUGCAGGCUGAGUCGGAGAAGCUACGCCAGGCAUGGAUCCAGGCGGUCCAGGCCAGCAUCGCCUCAGCCUACAGAGAAAUCUCAGAUAACUGCUACAUAGAGCGUUUGGACAGAACUGCCUCCCCCUCAACCUGCAGCAUCGACUCGGCCAACGAGGCGCGGGAGCGGGGGGGGGCGCGGGGGGACAGUCUGGUCCAACGGGUGCAGAUGCUGCCGGGCAACGAGCUGUGCUGCGACUGCAGCCAGGCCGCCCCCUGCUGGGCCUCCAUCAACCUGGGUGUGCUGCUAUGCAUCGAGUGCUCUGGGAUACACAGAAGUCUGGGGGUUCACUGCUCCAAGGUGCGCUCCCUCACACUGGACUCCUGGGAACCAGAGUUACUCAAGCUGAUGUGUGAGUUGGGUAACACGGUCAUCAACCAGAUCUACGAGGGAGCCUGUGAUGAGCUGGGCACCCGGAAGCCCGGCCCGGCCAGCACCAGGCAGGAGAAGGAGGCCUGGAUCCAGGCCAAGUACGUGGAGCGGCGCUUCCUGAGGAAGCUGCGAGGCAGUGGAGCACUGGGAGAGGGGGGGGGGAAGCCUCGCCCCUGGGGGGGGAAGAAGUGUGUGAGACGCAGUAGCUCAGCGCGGCCGCCCAAGACCCGCAGGAGGCACCGCCACGACCUCGGGAGCGCCUUGCCUGCCAACCUGUCUGCAGCGGCUGCAGCAGCAAAGUUCCGUCGUGACUCUCUGUUCUGUCCUGACGAGCUGGAUCAUUUGUUCUCCUACUUCGACACCGGAUCUGCCGGAUCUGGGCCUCGCAGUCUGAGCAGUGACAGUGGUCUGGGCGGCAGCACCGACGGCUCCACAGAUGUCCUGGUGUUUGGCUCUGUGGUGGAUAGCGUCACCGAGGAGGAGGAGUCUGAGGACUCCAGUGUGGAGGGGGAGGUGGAGGGGGAGGGCUGGGACGGUGAGGAUGUGAGGGAACGGUCCCCGGGCUCCCUGCUCCACCGGGCAUCUCGCCUGCGCUGCCUAACUCUGAUGGCCGAGGCUCUGGCCCAGGGCGCGGACGUCAGCUCUGCGAGCGAUGACGAGGAGGGCCGGACCCCUCUCAUACAGGCCGUCAUAGGGGGCUCUCUGGUGGCGUGUGAGUUCCUGCUGCAGAACGGAGCUGACGUCAACCAGCGUGACAGGAGGGGGCGGGGCCCGCUGCACCAUGCCACACACCUGGGACACACCGGGCAGGUGUGUUUGUUUCUGAAGAGGGGUGCGUCCCAGACGGAGGUGGACGACGAGGGGCAGGCUCCUCUGAGUGUGGCGCUGCAGGCGGCCAAUGCAGACAUUGUCACACUGCUGCGUCUGGCCAGGAUGAACGAGGAGAUGCGUGAGGCGGAGGGUCCUGUGGCGCUGGGCCAGCCAGGCCAGUACCACAGCAACAGCCCCACAGAACAGCAGUAUAGGAAGUGCAUUCAGGAGUUCAUCUGCAUCACCAUAGAGGAAUGCUAGGGAACACCAGAGAGGCACACUGUUAUACCCCAUCACGGGUAGACCGCAAGAUCAGGUCACCCAUAGACAUUGAUCUGAAGUCAGCAUGGCCACUUUCCUGAAGAUGUUCAGUAACAGGGUUCAGGGCUGGUUGGCUGGUCUCAGAUCUGUGUCUAAGGGCAACAUCUACAAGGAGUGUUCAGGGCAUUAGUGGGAAGGAUGAGCAGGGAGAUAGAGAGUGGAACACACAUCUUCACUGUGUGUGUUGGACGUGGGCUCUUCUGCCAUUCUGGGCUCCAUCUCUGGAAAUGUGUUCUUCUGCUACUUCUGGAGCACCUGCUUUUCUGUGACUGUGUCCCUGCCAUCUGACCUCUACUGCCACCUUUUUCUCUCUGCAUCGUAUCUUUACAGACUGGACUGGGGUGGGAACAACACCGUAUGCUUGUCACUGUUGUGCCAUCUGCCGACAGGUCACUGUGCAGGUGUCUGGAAGCAUCUGGCCUCUGAUUGAUGUCACAGAACUAUACUGCCAUUUCAAUAUUGAGAAUUGAGUCCAGAAGCACUGUAACACGGGCUGAAACACACCUCCUGCCUCCGCCAGAGCUCUGUGGGGAGAAUGUGGCCUCUGCCUCAGUGUUCUCUCAGCAUGUCUCCUGCCUCCUCUCUCUCCCCUCUCAAUAUUCUCUUCAGCUUAUAGAUGUUGUCUUUCAAGUUGAUGUCACUUAGAAAUUCUGUCAGAGGAAGAUGUGAGAGAGAGAGAGAGAGAGAGAGAGAGAGAGAGAGAGAGAGAGAGAGAGAGAGAGAGAGAGAGAGAGAGAGAGAGAGGGUAAAAGGAUGCUGAGUUGGAAUGAAACACUAUAAAUAUAAUACAAUAAUUUUAAAAAAAGAAAUGCAGCUGCACUUUUCUUACCUGACAGUAUUAGGAUUUUUGUUUAUUCAGUGUCGUUUUUUUCCGUCAUGGUAUCAUUCACUCAAACUGUCUUUAUUUGUGUUUUUUGUUUUAUUUAUGUCAAAAUACUAGUGUAAUGAAUAUCGAGAUGCAGAAUGUUUCUGGUUCUUUCUAGUCUUUCAACGUGCAGUAUUCUCUUCUUUUUAAAAAGAAUAUCUUUUUGAUUAUUUCUGCUUUUAAAUAAUACACAAACAUCUGUCCAUCUACCUUUCCUCUUAUUAGCAUCUGGAACAAGUCACAACUGUCAUACAAAAACUUUUUAUUCAAGAUCUUGGGAGGUAUUAAGAUUCCUUUAUAGAAAUCAGGCUGUUUCUGUUUCUUAUAAACAUCGAGGAUUGCAGUCAGGGAGCGUUGCUGCGUGUAUUGUGACUCCGGAUAUUUUAGGACUGAAGUUGGGGGCUCAGUCCUAAUAUGAUCCAGUCUGGAUUAUGCAGCCCAUGGAUACUCCCCACUGGAGUUGUUUUGUUUUAGGGCUGCAAAAUAAUUCGUCCUGUAUGGUUUAUGUUGGAGGAAUGAUUGGAGUCCAAUGAAGAUAGAUACACCUUAUCAUUUUGACUGGUCAUCGCCUGUAUUCUGCAUGCUUUCAUCAAAGUCCAGAAUGCUCUAAACUGCUCUAAAAUUUUAUUGUGAGCAUGAUGAUUACUUAGCUGUGGUCACUUCAUCUUGCAGUCCUGUUUAAAAGCAUGACCUCACAAUGACCAGACCUUCUGUGUGCAUCUACACAACCAGAUGAUCUGUGUGCAUCUACACAACCAGAUGAUCUGUGUGCAUCUACACAACCAGAUGAUCUGUGUGCAUCUACACAACCAGAUGAUCUGUGUGCAUCUACACAACCAGAUGAUCUGUGUGCAUCUACACAACCAGAUGAUCUGUGUGCAUCUACACAACCAGAUGAUCUGUGUGCAUCUACACUGUGUGCCAUCUACUCAACCAGACUCUGAAUCUGCAACAGCUUCAGGACAGUGUUGGUUGUUUUUCAUCAACCAAGUAAGAUUGCAAAAUACGUAAUAGUUUCUUUUUGCUAGUCGUCAUCAGGGUCUCGAUAUGUGAUUGGCAUACAUUUUUAUAAACCUUUUGUCUUCUGCCAAACACUUUCGAAAAGGGAAGCAGACAAAUUCUGUGUCAGUUUGAGUUCAACUUUUCAGAGUAAGAUGACCUCGUAGGUCAACAAUAAUAAUGUGUUAGCACCAGAGUCCGUGUUUUUCAAACGUAAAAAAAGGUAACGACCCAAGAGUAAUUUGGGUCCUGGAUUAUGAAGUAAACAGUCGUCUUCUGUUUCAUUAGAAAAUCUACAGUUUGAUUCCACCAUAAACUAGGAUGUGAUAGUUUAGAUGGUGUGAGCUGUCAGGCGACGAGCCAGGCGACGUAAGUGUCUUUUGGUGUGUGUAUAUAGACUUUUGGGGAGAGUUUUUUAAGAAUUCUUUGAAAACAACUGUGCUGUACAUGUGCUUCUGCUCAUUUUAACUCUCAACUCAACUGCCUGCUCUCAGCAUUCAAACAACAACAUCCUUCCUGCCUGUAUGAUUUUAUUUUUCUCUUCCAAAUUAUCUGUAAAACCUUUUGGGAUUACUGUUACAUAGUUCAGUACUAUUUGGAGACAUUAUGUAUUGUUUACAUUUGAAUAUCUUUAAAGUACUUCCUUCCAUUUGUUUAGAAACACUGAGAAAAAAGAAAUGCAGAGAAUAAAACUGAUGAGAUGUGUUUAUUAAAGCCUCCGCCUUCUCUCUGGUCAUGUCUGCCUCUGAAUAGGCCUUCAGUGUUGCUGUAACUUUGUUGGACUGCUGACAGUUGUCAGACUGUUACAGGUGCUGACAGUUUGCCAGACUGUUACAGGUGCUGACAGUUUGCCAGACUGUUACAGGUGCUGACAGUUUGUCAGACUGUUACAGGUGCUGACAGUUUGCCAGACUUUUACAGGUGCUGACAGUUUGUCAGACUGUUACAGGUGCUGACAGUUUGCCAGACUGUUACAGGUGCUGACAGUUUGCCAGACUGUUACAGGUGCUGACAGUUUGCCAGACUGUUACAGGAACGCUGUGGGACUUGAAUGACUGAUUGUCGGGUGUCUGUCUCUAACAACAUAUGGGUUCACUCUUGGCUAUGGGGAAUGCAGUUACACGUUACGGGUUUAGGAUUAGGGUUACCACUCAAACCACUCAGACACUUGACUUGUACAGACUCCUUAUUUAGCCUUUUACAACCAGACACAUACAGUAACUCUCAAAGAUAUUUGAUGUCGGGAUAAUACUGUAAAGGUUGUCACCUAAAACUGAUUAUGACUGAAGUUGGGGUUGUUUUCCCAAAAAAUGCUUGUAAAAGGCUAUACAAAUCAAAUUGGAUUUGAUGUUCCCAGGAAGAAAGUGACUUAAUGUCUGUUGUUGCUUCCAUUGAUACAGGAGUCACAGCAGGAACCAGGAGGGUGAAGAACAAGGAUGGUCGUGACAGAGUUUCUCCACUUACACCAACAUCUUUUGGGAGUUUUCUCUCCCGGCAUCUCUCCAGCCCCAGGAGCUAAACUGACGAAGCACUUCAGACUGGUGGUGACUAACUGGCAACAACAACCAGAUCGGCAACAGCAACCAACUAUAACACAACCAGACUGGCAACAGCAACCAACCUUAACUCAACUAUCAAGCAGAACCAUGCUACACUGAAACUCAGUGAACUGUUGAACACUGUGAUUUGAGGACAGAAUGUACAACUAUGAAGUUACUUUAUUGUCAUUUGAGGAAAUCUUCAAAAACAUAAGUAGCACCAGAGUGCGAAUUAUGCACUGACAAUCGGGGUAUCGACCCCCGACCUGUUGUUUUUACGUCUUUUGGGGGGGUCCAAGUCUUAAUUAGGGGGGUCAAAUCCCCCCAUAAUUCAAACCCUUGACUUUGACUUUGAAUUGUAAAGUUAGUCAAGGUCAUACAAAAAAAAGGUAUAAUUCCAGUUAUUCUGGUAACCCAAUAAGCUUUAUCUACAGAGAAUAAUAAAAUAUAAACAAGAAUAUUUAUAUUGCAAGGUAAAAACGUAAGUAAGUAUCUACAUAAAAGGGUAGCCAUGAGAUCAAUCAUGUGGAUGGAUAUUCAUGCUGGGGACAAUAAAAUGUUUUGAGAUGGUU